rnacentral:lncRNA from 1 species
GACUACUAUGUAUUCUAUAUCUAUUUUUUGUGGUUACCAUGAGGAUUACAUUUAACACCCAAACGUUAUAACACACGAAUUUGGUCUCUUAAAUUUGUAGAAAAGAAAAUCUGGAGUUACAUACUAUCAUAAGGCUAGCACCAAAGGGUUGGUGCUAAACCACUCAUGAGAAAUCCAGCCCCAUGAGCCAAUCACCCCCGACUGGGGUCCACCUCUAACACUGGGGAUUACAAUUCAAUAUGAUAUUUGGGCAGGAACACAUAUCCAAACGAUAUCAUUUUCUGUUUCUCAGACUUAAUGAUUUUCAUUGGCCUGUUUUCAAGUUUACUAGUUCUUUCUUCUGCCUGCUCAAAUCUGCCUUUGAAUCACUCUAGCAAAUUUUUAAUUUCGUUUUUGUACUUUUUAGAUUCAGAAUUUCUUAUUGGUUGCUUUUUAGGACUUCUGUCUUUUAACUGAUAUUU